ACUCCUACGGGAGGCAGCAGUGGGGAAUAUUGCACAAUGGGCGCAAGCCUGAUGCAGCAACGCCGCGUGGGGGAUGACGGCCUUCGGGUUGUAAACCUCUUUUGGUAGGGAAGAAGCCUUCGGGUGACGGUACCUGCAGAAAAAGGACCGGCUAACUACGUGCCAGCAGCCGCGGUAAUACGUAGGGUCCGAGCGUUGUCCGGAAUUAUUGGGCGUAAAGAGCUCGUAGGCGGUUCGUCGCGUCUGCCGUGAAAUCCUCAGGCUCAACCUGAGGCGUGCGGUGGGUACGGGCGAGCUAGAGUGCGGUAGGGGAGAAUGGAACUCCUGGUGUAGCGGUGGAAUGCGCAGAUAUCAGGAAGAACACCGAUGGCGAAGGCAGUUCUCUGGGCCGUAACUGACGCUGAGGAGCGAAAGCGUGGGGAGCGAACAGGAUUAGAUACCCUGGUAGUCCACGCCGUAAACGUUGGGCGCUAGAUGUGGGGACCAUUCCACGGUUUCCGUGUCGUAGCUAACGCAUUAAGCGCCCCGCCUGGGGAGUACGGCCGCAAGGCUAAAACUCAAAGGAAUUGACGG
rnacentral:rRNA from 1 species